CCUACGGGUGGCUGCAGUGAGGAAUAUUGGUCAAUGGACGAGAGUCUGAACCAGCCAAGUAGCGUGAAGGAUGACUGCCCUAUGGGUUGUAAACUUCUUUUAUAUGGGAAUAAAAUGUUCCACGUGUGGGAUUUUGUAUGUACCAUAUGAAUAAGGAUCGGCUAACUCCGUGCCAGCAGCCGCGGUAAUACGGAGGAUCCGAGCGUUAUCCGGUUUUAUUGGGUUUAAAGGGAGCGUAGGUGGAGUGUUAAGUCAGUUGUGAAAGUUUGCGGCUCAACCGUAAAAUUGCAGUUGAAACUGGCAGUCUUGAGUACAGUAGAGGUGGGCGGAAUUCGUGGUGUAGCGGUGAAAUGCUUAGAUAUCACGAAGAACUCCGAUUGCGAAGGCAGUUCACUGGACUGCAACUGACACUGAGGCUCGAAAGUGUGGGUAUCAAACAGGAUUAGAUACCCGAGUAGUC
rnacentral:rRNA from 1 species